AUAUAGCACAAUUUUGACUCCGGAUGAUUCCUUCAUACCCGGUAUCGCUCUCAGCCUCUGUUCCUUAGCUUUGUGGCAGUUUGAUAUUCCGAAAAGUGACAGAAAGUACAUAGAUAAACUGGGAACGCUAGUAACAUUUACGGCUAUUGUAAGUCUGAUGUUCGCCACGGUGUCGAUUUAUAGGCUGAACUAUAUACUCACCUUUACCAUCGUAAUGGUAACGCUUCAUCAAAUAUUAGCUCCGAAAUUAGAUGAUGAUGCAGCGGCUGAAGACAAUGCGGGGGAUGAUGAUGACAGCAGAGUCAAAUACAAUGACUUCAAGUCCAAAAUGGAGUAAAGUUACCGAAUUUGAUCAAAAUUCGAGGCCUUGAGAUCCGAAGGGUUAGACGGAACUGAAGCAGAACUCGCUUUUUUUUCAUUGUGUUCAUUUUUUCAGAUCUUGAAUCACAGUAUGACAUGACGAUAAAUUAUUUUGCAGUAGCUCUGGCAAUGAUAGUUCAAAUUGAAACGAAGACACACAUAAUACUCCUUAAAUGUUUAGUAACUCAGCAUUAUUAUACUUGCUCUUGAAUGACUCGCCAAACGAAUAAUCCUCACCAAUAAUCCUCACCAAUAAUACGAAAAAUGUAUUUUCCACUUACAUUAUUUUCAUGUGUACAUCAUUCAAUACAUUAUGACAUGUAUUUUUUUUUCAUUAUGUGACAAAGGAAUGAAUUAGUGACUGUGAAUUAUUAGAAUAAUAGUUUAGAAAUGCUCUGAAAAAGUAUAUAGAGAUGCCUAAUUAUUUUCAAAUAUUCAAUAACGGCAUUGUAUACUUUAGUGAUAUCAUAGAAAUAAAUUAUUACUGUUACUUAUGUAACAA